rnacentral:tRNA from 1 species
UGGGGUGUGGCUCAGUGGCAGAGUGCUUGCCUAUAAUGUUAGAGGCCCCAGGGUUUGAGCUCCAGCACUGCAA